rnacentral:rRNA from 1 species
AUUGAACGCUGGCGGCAGGCUUAACACAUGCAAGUCGAACGAGUGGCGGACGGGUGAGUAAUGCCUGGGAAUCUAGCUUAUGGAGGGGGAUAACUACGGGAAACUGUAGCUAAUACCGCAUACCAUAAGAUGAGCCCAGAGGGGAUUAGGUAGUUGGUGGGGUAAAGGCUCACCAAGGCGACGAUCCCUAGCUGGUCUGAGAGGAUGACCAGCCACACUGGGACUGAGACACGGCCCAGACUCCUACGGGAGGCAGCAGUGGGGAAGAUUGCGCAAUGGGGGCAACCUGACGCAGCCAUGCCGCGUGAGUGAAGAAGGCCUUCGGGUUGUAAAGUUCUUUCGGUGACGAGGCGUUAACUACAGAAGAAGCACCGGCUAACUCCGUGCCAGCCGCCGCGGUAAUAC